CCUACGGGUGGCAGCAGUGGGGAAUAUUGCACAAUGGGGGAAACCCUGAUGCAGCGACGCCGCGUGAAGGAAGAAGUCUUUCGGUAUGUAAACUUCUAUCAGCAGGGAAGAAAAUGACGGUACCUGACUAAGAAGCCCCAGCUAACUACGUGCCAGCAGCCGCGGUAAUACGGAGGGGGCAAGCGUUAUCCGGAUUUACUGGGUGUAAAGGGAGCGUAGGCGGGUUAGCAAGUCAGAAGUGAAAUCCCGGGGCUCAACUCCGGGACUGCGUUUGAAACUGUUGAACUAGAGUGCAGGAGAGGUAAGUGGAAUUCCUAGGGUAGCGGUGAAAUGCGUAGAUAUUAGGAAGAACACCAGUGGCGAAGGCGGCUUACUGGACUGUAAAUGACGCUGAGGCUCGAAAGCGUGGGGAGCAAACAGGAUUAGAUACCCGAGUAGUC
rnacentral:rRNA from 1 species